CACCCUCCGGCACGUGCAGUCGUCGUGCAGGAGCUUGCACGCGCAGCCCAAAGCGAGGGGGAGGGGGAGAGGAGAAGGGGAAGAGGGAAACGGCGGAGGAGAAGGAGAAGGAGUGGAGGAGGGAGAUGAGCGCGCUCACUCAGCAUCAGCAACACACACACACACGCACAAAGAGGUCGGAGAGCUGGCUCGUGAAUGGGAGAUGACGGAGCGCUGCAGGACGCGCUCAGAACAGGACUGAUACUCGCAUCCAUCAUACACACAGGGAGACCAGCCGUGCCACUGUGUAUGCUAUUGUGCCACAAGCAUGCCAACAACAGCAUGGACAGAGCGUCCAGACAUCAAGACUGUUCUCUAACUGCAUCCUUAUAACUAAUAGGAAUCAGGUUUCAUAAUAUGUUCACAAUAUUGUGUACAUCUGCAUGGAUUAAUUGGGGGUUUUGACUAAGAAAUAUUUUGUUUUCUGCAUGAAACCCCAUGCAUUUUUUGCAGUGAUGUCAUGUUUGUACUGUAGGCCCACAAUAUGAACCCUAACAGGGUAUUACAUGUGUGUACAUACUGAAUUGUUGUCAUAGGUUAACAAAUGCCACUCAUGGUUGCCUAAAUAAAAGAAACUGAUUUAGACUAUAUAAUUGAUAGUUUAUGAUUUCCACUUAAGUUUCAUAAGAUUCCCCUACAUCACUGCAGCAUAUAAUCCCGAAAUGCCAUUUUGGCUCUUUCAAAUAUCCAAAAUAUCCAAUUUUCUGAUUGCAGUAAUCAGCCAUUUGUUAUAAUUGUUUUAUUUACAGUUGUGCUCGUACGUUUACAUACCCCUUGCAGAAUCUGCAAAAUGUUACUAACUCAAAAUAUAUAUGAGGGAUCAUAAAAAUUGCAUUUAGUUUUUUAUUUAGUGCUGCCCUAAAUAAGCGAUUUCACAUGACAGAUGUUUACAUAUAGUCCACAAAACACAAUAAUAACUGAAUUUACACAAAUGAACUAGUUCAAAAGUUUACACACGCUCGAUUCUUAAUACUGUGUGUCGCUACCUGGAUGAUCAACGACUGUUUUUAUGUUUUGUAAUAGUUGUGUACGAGUCCCUCAGUAGUCCUCAGUGUGAAAAGAUGGAUCUUAAAAUCAUAUAGCUGCUGUUGGAAAGGGCUCAAAUAUGCAGAAGAUGAUAGAAAAGUAAAGAAUGUGCAGGACCUGGAGGAUUUUUCUGAAGAACAGUGGGCAGUUUAACUGCUCAGGACAAACAAGGGACUCAUGAACAACUAUCACAAAACAUAAACACAUCAUGUCAGUGAUCAUCCAGGUAAUGACACACAGUGUUAAGAAUCGAGUGUGUGUAAACUUUUGAACUCAUUUGUUCAUUUGUGUAAAUUCAUUUAUUUUUGUGUCUUGUGGACUAUGUGUAAACAUCUGUUAUGUGAAAUAGAUUAUUCAGGACAGGACUAAAUAAAAAACUAAACCCAAUUUUUAUAAUCUCUCUUAUUUUAUUUUUUUUAAAUUAUGAACAUUUUGCAGAUUCUGCAAGGGGUGUGUGAAUUUAUGAGCACAACUGUAUAAGAGGACAUAGCCUGCAUUUUAGUAGGAUAAAGUGAUGUAACCAAAACAUGAUGGAACCUUUUAUGAAUUACUAAGGCCUUUAUUAGGGAUUUCCACAAUACAUUUUUUCCUAAUUGUAGCUUGAUUAGACGGGGUGAACUGUUACGGGUAUCAGUGGAGGGGUUCACAAAGAAUAGCUAGGAGCUUUGUAAUGCAUAGAGAAACACAACCAGAUAAAUGGCAAUAAACAGUCAUUUGUGAAAAGCAUGAUUAAUAAUAUCUGCCAAGUAGUAGUUUCUCACAUAUCAAGGAUUUGGAGUUAUAGUGGCAGUUAUAUUUGUUUACUUUAUCACUGCGUCCAAUUCGGCUUCUUCUGGACUAAUUGCCCCAUGUGUAAAUGACUUUGUGAAUGUGUGCAUGUGAUGAGAUUGUGUGGAGUUGGUGUCGUAUGCAUGGUGCACUCCCACUUUGCACAGUAUUUCCGAAAUAAGAUCCCUCACGACAUUCCAUGAUAUUGAUUGCGAAUUUGGUCAGUGAAUGAAGAGACACUUUGGGUUGAUCCAAUGACGGGUACUUUUUAUAUGCAUGACAUGUUACCUUACAAGUUAAUGAAGGCAAGGAUACUGUUUUAUCAGAGAGCUGCUGCAAAAGAUAUUUAAAAAAACAUUGUACCCAUCUGUCACUUUAGUAUUUUCCCCCCCACAAUUUCUCACUCUCCUGCAUAAAGGGAAUAAAAUUUUUUUGUAUGUGAUGUAUAUAUGGUGUAUACAGUGCUGUGAAAAUGUAUUCUGAUUUCUUCUGUUUUUGUGUAUAUCUCAUCCUAAAUAACUUUAGCUCUUCAAAAGAAAUGCAACAUAAAACAAAGGCAGCCUGAGUAAGCACACAAUACAGUUUUAAUUUUUAAUUUUAUUUUUUAUUAAAGCAAAAAAAGAAAGUUAUCCAACACCUAUCACCCAUGUGGGAAAACUAAUUGCCCUCUUAAACUUAAAAUCUGGUUGUGCCACCUUUAGCAGCAAUGACUACAACCAAACGCUUCUGACAGCUGGAGAUCAGUCUUUCACAUUGCUGUGGUGGAAUUUUGGCCCACUCUUCUUUGCAGAACUGCUUUAGUUCUGCCACACUGAAGGGUUUUCAAGCAUGAACUGACCAGCUUUUAACCAGAUUCAUGUUGUUGAAAAAGUUCUAUUUAAGCACUGAUUUGAUUGAACAGGGUUUGCUGUCAUCAGGCCUGGUUGUGUAUAGUCCAGCUGAACCCCAUUAUGAAUGCAGUUUCAUAGAUUUGGGGAAUUAGUAACUAUGAGGGUAAAUACAUUUUCACACAGGCCCAGUUGGUACUAGAUAACUUUUUUUCUUCAAUAAAUAACAUCAUCAUUUAAACACUGUAUUUUGUGAUUACUCAGGUUGCGUUUGUUUUACCUUAGACUUUGCUUUAAUUUCUGAAACAAUUUAGAAUGAGAAAUACACAAAAACAGAAGAAAUCAGGAUGGAGCAAAUACUUUUUCACAGCACUGUAUGUCCUUAAGUCUUGUCUGCAGAUGUCAGACCAAAAAUAGAGCAAAUUGAUCUAGUCAUUGAUCCCCAGGAGGAAAAUUCAAAUAGUUUUUGGCCACUCAUUUAUAUUCAUUAUCACAGACACAAUCAUAUACUGUGAAGCUGUAACCACCAGAGACUCUAGUUACACAGCCUACAGGCUACGCUUCAACUGGGCCAGUCCAAGCAUGACUAAUUUAAUGUAUACAUCAGGCAAAAAAAACAGUCCUGUACAACAAUUAGGAGUUCAAGAGAAACAACAGGUCAAAUACGAACUGUUCAUAAUGUAUGGUAGGGUACUGUAUGCAUGCAGAUUACUGAAUGGGUCUUUCCUAAUUUCACCAUGUGACAGUAAAGUGUAGAAAUAUACAACCAGGAAAGUAAGCCACACUGAUUGAUCGUGAUAAAGAAAAGAUUUUAGUGCGGUCACAGUAACAUACAGCUCGAUCGUGUGUCAUUGACUGACAAGAACACACACACACACACACACACACACACACACACACACACACACAUCGAGAGCCAAAUCCUGUCAUUACUCACAUGGGAACAUAACAUAACUGUAUACACACCCUGACUCAGACAUGCCCUAUUACCUGUGAGGAAUUUUAGAAAAUGAUACCUAGAAGGCAGAAAACAGUUUAUGAUGGAUAUGUUAUUAACACUUUAGUCAUGCGUGUACUUUAUUUUGAAAGAGGGACGGCCUUCCCUGUGAGAUGGAGCCCAGAUAAAUGGAAAGAGGGAAUUAUUUAACAGUGAGCACACAAGACAUGCUGAGAAGAGACAAGUCAGAACAAAACACAUCAGACUGCUCGUAGGAUUUAGAAUGAAUUCUAAUCAGAGAACAACAUUGACAUUGACAAACAGCAUUGGCAGAGCAAGAAAAGAAUACAAAGAGUGCAAAACAAAGAACAGUAAAUAAGAUAUGAGGGAGAGGCAGUAGAUAUCAGACAUGAAAGAAAGACAGACAGGGCAAGUUGCCAGUAUAUUAGGUACUAGACACCCUCUAGGUGUAUAUAAUAAACUGGUAAGUAGGGCUUUAAUAAGGGCUGAGACUGUGUGAUUGGUUGUGUGAGACCCUGUUAUUGGUUUUUCAGAGUGUCCCCACGGCCACAUUCAUCAGAUUCCAGUUGUGUUUCUGCUAGCACGUAUUGUAUUGUACAUACACUCCUGGGCAACAAAAUGGGCCAAACUCAAAAUGGCAAAAUACUAAACUUUUAACCCUUUAUUGCAUGGUGUUGCCAUAUGGCAACAAUUAAUUUAUCUCCAAUUUUUUGAUAGGCAAUAAAUACAAAUGACUAUCUUCCUAUGUGACUAGAAAACGGGGCUUUAACUUUGACAUAAUAAAAAAAAAUUCUAUGUCAAAUGAGCAGGAAGUGCUGUUUACACUUCUUUAUCUUCAAUCACAUGGCAUGGUGAAAGUUGUCAUCAGAGGGCUCUCAAAAUGUAAUACAUUUUUCAAUAUUUAGGCAAAACUACUUAAAGGAAAAAAUUUUAACACUAUCUAAGAUAAGUUAACAUUUAUUUUUUUGUCAUUCAAACAAGUUUAGAUAUUUUGAGUAUUCUGUUAAAUGGUAAAAUGUAAUUGUUGCCAUAUGGAAACAACAUAUGAUAAUGGAACUGUUGUAUGUGCGUUCAUGAAUUCUAACAGGCCGACAUAGCAAAAAAAGACACCAGGCUUCUCUAAUAGUAUAUUUCACAUUUAAAAGUAAGAAAAACUGUUAUAAUUUCAGAGAAUUCUGCAAUUGUACCUUAUUUUCUAAAUGUUAUGUUUCUAGAGAAAGAAUUAAGAAUUCAAGAGAAAGAAUUAAAAAGAUACUUCACCAAAAACUUGUUUGGAUCUAAUUUGUGUAUGUAUUGUGAGUGAGUAACUCCAUCCACAUACUUUUUACGACUGUAAUUCCUUUCUAGAAGAUAUAACUUUUACCUGCUUACUAAAAAAUCUACAACUUAUAGUCUGUAAAAUGCAGUAAUUAGAAUUAUCUCAUACAUUUUGUGAUAUUUUUGACUAUAUGAUACUUUCUACCAUUCCACACAUUGCACACACAAUUUACCAACCACCCCCCAUUUUUUCCC
ensembl:lncRNA